rnacentral:rRNA from 1 species
ACGAACGCUGGCGGCGUGCUUAACACAUGCAAGUCGAGCGGAAAGGCCCUUCGGGGUACUCGAGCGGCGAACGGGUGAGUAACACGUGAGUAACCUGCCCCAGACUUUGGGAUAACCCUCGGAAACGGGGGCUAAUACCGGAUACGACACAGCUUCGCAUGGGGUCUGUGUGGAAAGUUUUUCGGUUUGGGAUGGGCUCGCGGCCUAUCAGCUUGUUGGUGGGGUGAUGGCCUACCAAGGCGACGACGGGUAGCCGGCCUGAGAGGGCGACCGGCCACACUGGGACUGAGACACGGCCAAGACUCAUACGGGAGGCAGCAGUGGGGAAUAUUGCACAAUGGGCGGAAGCCUGAUGCAGCGACGCCGCGUGAGGGAUGACGGCCUUCGGGUUGUAAACCUCUUUCAGCAGGGACGAAGAGUAAGUGACGGUACCUGCAGAAGAAGCGCCGGCCAACUACGUG